rnacentral:rRNA from 1 species
UGCUAUACAUGCAAGUCGAGCGGACCAAUAGAAGCUUGCUUCUGUUGGUUAGCGGCGGACGGGUGAGUAACACGUGGGCAACCUGCCUGUAAGACUGGGAUAACUUCGGGAAACCGGAGCUAAUACCGGAUAAUUCAUCCCCUCGCAUGAGGGGGUGCUGAAAGUCGGUUCACGCUGACACUUACAGAUGGGCCCGCGGCGCAUUAGCUAGUUGGUGAGGUAAUGGCUCACCAAGGCGACGAUGCGUAGCCGACCUGAGAGGGUGAUCGGCCACACUGGGACUGAGACACGGCCCAGACUCCUACGGGAGGCAGCAGUAGGGAAUCUUCCACAAUGGACGAAAGUCUGAUGGAGCAACGCCGCGUGAGCGAUGAAGGCCUUCGGGUCGUAAAGCUCUGUUGUUAGGGAAGAACAAGUACCGGAGUAACUGCCGGUACCUUGACGGUACCUAACCAGAAAGCCACGGCUAACUACGUGCCAGCAGCCGCGGUAAUACGUAGGUGGCAAGCGUUGUCCGGAAUUAUUGGGCGUAAAGCGCGCGCAGGCGGUCCUUUAAGUCUGAUGUGAAAGCCCACGGCUCAACCGUGGAGGGUCAUUGGA